rnacentral:miRNA from 1 species
GUGGAAAACAGACUGUG